rnacentral:rRNA from 1 species
CCCUUAGAUGUUCUGGGCCGCACGCGCGCUACACUGACGGAGGCAGCGAGCAUGUCCUUCGCCGAGAGGUGUGGGGAAUCUUGUGAGUCUCCGUCGUGCUGGGGAUAGAUGGUUGCAAUUGUCGAUCUUGAACGAGGAAUUCCUAGUAAGCGCGAGUCAUCAGCUCGCGCUGAUUACGUCCCUGCCCUUUGUACACACCGCCCGUCGCUACUACCGAUUGAAUGGCUUAGUGAGGUCUUGGGAUUGGCUUCGAGGAACCGGCAACGGUACCUUGUUGCUGAGAACUUGAUCAAACUUGGUCAUUUAGAGGAAGUAAAAGUCGUAACA